rnacentral:rRNA from 1 species
CCACACUGGGACUGAGACACGGCCCAGACUCCUACGGGAGGCAGCAGUGGGGAAUUUUGGACAAUGGGCGCAAGCCUGAUCCAGCCAUGCCGCGUGUCUGAAGAAGGCCUUCGGGUUGUAAAGGACUUUUGUCAGGGAAGAAAAGGGCGGGGUUAAUACCCCUGUCUGAUGACGGUACCUGAAGAAUAAGCACCGGCUAACUACGUGCCAGCAGCCGCGGUAAUACGUAGGGUGCGAGCGUUAAUCGGAAUUACUGGGCGUAAAGCGAGCGCAGACGGUUACUUAAGCAGGAUGUGAAAUCCCCGGGCUCAACCUGGGAACUGCGUUCUGAACUGGGUGACUAGAGUGUGUCAGAGGGAGGUAGAAUUCCACGUGUAGCAGUGAAAUGCGUAGAGAUGUGGAGGAAUACCGAUGGCGAAGGCAGCCUCCUGGGAUAACACUGACGUUCAUGCUCGAAAGCGUGGGUAGCAAACAGGAUUAGAUACCCUGGUAGUCCACGCCCUAAACGAUGUCAAUUAGCUGUUGGGCAACUUGAUUGCUUAGUAGCGUAGCUAACGCGUGAAAUUGACCGCCUGGGGAGUACGGUCGCAAGAUUAAAACUCAAAGGAAUUGACGGGGACCCGCACAAGCGGUGGAUGAUGUGGAUUAAUUCGAUGCAACGCGAAGAACCUUACCUGGUCUUGACAUGUACGGAACCCUCCAGAGACGGAGGGGUGCCUUCGGGAGCCGUAACACAGGUGCUGCAUGGCUGUCGUCAGCUCGUGUCGUGAGAUGUUGGGUUAAGUCCCGCAACGAGCGCAACCCUUGUCAUUAGUUGCCAUCAUUUAGUUGGGCACUCUAAUGAGACUGCCGGUGACAAGCCGGAGGAAGGUGGGGAUGACGUCAAGUCCUCAUGGCCCUUAUGACCAGGGCUUCACACGUCAUACAAUGGUCGGUACAGAGGGUAGCCAAGCCGCGAGGUGGAGCCAAUCUCACAAAACCGAUCGUAGUCCGGAUUGCACUCUGCAACUCGAGUGCAUGAAGUCGGAAUCGCUAGUAAUCGCAGGUCAGCAUACUGCGGUGAAUACGUUCCCGGGUCUUGUACACACCGCCCGUCACACCAUGGGAGUGGGGGAUACCAGAAGUAGGUAGGGUAACCGCAAGGAGCCCGCUUACCACGGUAUGCUUCAUGACUGGGGUGAAGUCGUAACAAGGUAGCCGUAGGGGAACCUGCGGCUG